AACGAACGCUGGCGGCAGGCUUAACACAUGCAAGUCGAGCGCCCCGCAAGGGGAGCGGCAGACGGGUGAGUAACACGUGGGAAUCUACCCAUCCCUACGGAACAACUCCGGGAAACUAGAGCUAAUACCGUAUACGCCCUUUGGGGGAAAGAUUUAUCGGGGAUGGAUGAGCCCGCGUCGGAUUAGCUAGUUGGUGGGGUAAAGGCCUACCAAGGCGACGAUCCGUAGCUGGUCUGAGAGGAUGAUCAGCCACACUGGGACUGAGACACGGCCCAGACUCCUACGGGAGGCAGCAGUGGGGAAUAUUGGACAAUGGGCGCAAGCCUGAUCCAGCCAUGCCGCGUGAGUGAUGAAGGCCUUAGGGUUGUAAAGCUCUUUCGCCAGGGACGAUAAUGACGGUACCCGGAGAAGAAGCCCCGGCUAACUUCGUGCCAGCAGCCGCCGUAAAAC
rnacentral:rRNA from 1 species